ensembl:lncRNA
CACCUGAGCAGCUGGGUCUCCUUUUCUGGGAGUUCUUCUUAUUCCCAUCCACAUAACCACUCAUCGCAUUGUCUAGCAUCACCAGGUCAGUGAGGAAUAUGCCAAGGAUGGGAAUAAUUCCCUUCUUCUGCUGAUGCCACCUUGCAUGGACUGUUUGGGGACUCGCCUCCAGGGUGGCUGACUUGGAGUUCCCCACACUUAUGAGCAGAUCCCUGUUCAGUGACUUGUCUUUGCUGCACAGCUUUGGACAUUUUUCUGUUGCUUUAUCUUGGCCACUCAGAGCAGAGCCGCCACAACCCCCCACCCCACAGUCCCUGGGCCAAAGUGGCCCAGGUUAGGGUCCCUGAAACAAGAGACACCGGAGAGUUCCCUCUCCCUCUCUUUCUUUUUCUUUUUGCGGCUGUGGACACCUUUCAACACUGUCUUCUUGGCCUUUAAAUCCUUUGCUUUGGCUUCGGCUUUAGGAGGGACAGGAGUUUCCUUCUUCACUUUCGGCGCCAUCUUGUGAAAAGGGAAAGUUUGCUUUCUAAUACCAUUUUCACUUCUCCUCUCUUUCCCUCUGCCCCCCGCACCCUCUUUCCAGGAGCACGAAGAGGUCAUGUGAGCACGCAGUGGGAGGGUGGCCAUAUGUGAUUAACAAUGGGUAUGCUUUGUAAACCAUCUAGAUCUCAUACAGUCAUAUCUUAUGAUUUCCCAUAAUUAGUUGGUCAUGGUUUGUAACUCCUGACAAACAUUAAGGUUUUAGUUUUAGAGAGAUUUUAUCCUUUUACACUGAAUAACAAAAAAAUACAUCAGAGGGAAAGUUGCCACUUAUGAUAGACCAGAGGCAGUUUCCGUCUCAUUUGCCCCUUGCCUCAGGUUGAUUACUCUCAUUUUCGCCUUGCCUCGGGUUGAUUAGUUAGUACAUGAACAUUCUGCCUAGUUUCCUGGGCUUACAUAUUCUGUAUCCUCAACACGGAAAGGUGAUUCACAAUAUGUAGCUUGAACAAAAAUACUUUUAGGUCUAAGAUAUUUGUUUUACACUGUAUUUUUUCAUUAAACUUUUCUUUUUAUCUUUCCUUAUGUAUGUAUUCAUUUAUUUGUUAAAAAAUUGAGAUGAGGGCUCACAUGUUGCCCAGGCUGGUCUUGAACUUCUGGGCUACAGUGAUCCUCCUGCCUCAGCCUCCCAAAGUGCUGUAUUACAGGCAUGAGCUACCACACCCUGCCCAUUAAACCUUUCUUUAAGAGUUUUAUUUUCAAAGACAGGGCAUUGAUUGAUUGAUUGAUUUAGAGACGGGGUCUUUCUAUGUUGCCCAGGCUGGUGUUGAACUCCUGGGCUGAAGCAAUCCUCCCACCUUGGCCUUCCAAUGUUGAGAUUACAGGCAUGAUCCACCAUGCCCAGCUGGACAGAGCAUUUUAAAAUGCAAAUGUGUACUGACCUCAUCAGUAGGAGGAUGCAUUCUGGCACCCCUGUUCUUCACCUGUCCUCCAAUCCUUAAAAGGCCACACUGCAUAAAGUCAACAGCAGAUAAAUGUUUGCUGAAUUAAAGGAUGGAUAAAAAAAUUAAUAAUGAAUUUUUGCAUAAUCCAAUAUUCUCUUUUAUAUGUCUAGAAGAAGUUUCUUUGAGCCUAUUAGAUCCUGGGAAUCUUUUAGGUGAGCAUGAUUAGAGAGCUUGUAGGUUGCUUUUACACAUAUCUGGCAUAUUUGAGUCUCGUAUCAAAACAAUAGAAUUUUGUGGAUCGUUUCUUGGUAUCCACCCCAGACCUCAAGAGUGUGGGCUGGAUCUUAGGGAUUGUGAAGUCUUCAUUUCCCUGUGGUGAGACGUGGGACAUGACUUUAGAUAGUGUGAGGGAAGAAGAUCUCCAGGCACUUAAAUAGAAUGGAGAAGCAGGAUGGGAUUUGAGAGGAAAUCUGAUUUUGAAGAAAGGAGAACUGGAGUUGAGUUGGUAAUUAACUAGGCACCUUAAAGGUCAUUCAGCAUGCAUUUUGGGAGGCUGAGGCAGGUGGAUCACCUGAGGUCAGGAGUUCGAGACCAGCCUGACCAACAUAGUGAAACCGUCUCUACUAAAUACAAAAAAUUAGCCAGAUGUGGUGGUGGGUGCCUGUAAUCCCAGCUACUUGGGAGGCUGAGGCAGGAGAAUUGCUUGAACCCGGGAGGCAGAGGUUGCACUGAGCCAAGACUGCACCAUUGCACUCUAGCCUGGAUGAUAGAGUAAGACUCUGACUCCAAAAAAAAAAAAAAAAAAA